rnacentral:rRNA from 1 species
GGCAGUGCAGCAUAGCUAUGUACGGACGGGAUAACCGCUGAAAGCAUCUAAGCGGGAAACCCACCUCAAAACGAGUAUUCCCUUGAGAACCGUGGAAGACGACCACGUUGAUAGGCCGGGUGUGUAAGUGCAGUAAUGUACGUAGCUUACCGGUACUAAUCGUUCGACUGGCUUGAUUGCUCUCAUUUU